GAUGUUAACAACAGUUUAGAAGAAGGAAAAUGAAAACAUGUGGAGAACCUAAAGAAAACAAGUGCACUAAAAAAACAUUUGGAUCCUUAAAGUAAGAAUUUAGCAUUGAAAGAACUCAAAGAAGAAAACAAAGUUUUACAUCGAGUUGAAUUCAGUAGAAGAUUAAAAAUUUUGUGCAUAUGUUAAUUUGGAGAAGAAAAUACCAGAUCGGUACAAGCUCUU
rnacentral:lncRNA from 1 species